UACGUAGGGGGCAAGCGUUGUCCGGAUUUAUUGGGCGUAAAGAGCGUGUAGGCGGCCAGACAGGUCCGUUGUGAAAACUCGAGGCUCAACCUCGAGACGCCGAUGGAAACCGUUUGGCUAGAGUCCGGAAGAGGAGAGUGGAAUUCCUGGUGUAGCGGCGAAAUGCGCAGAUAUCGGGAGGAACACCGGUGGCGAAGGCGGUUCUCUGGGCCUGUGCUGACGCUGAGGAGCGAAAGCGUGGGGAGCGAACAGG
rnacentral:rRNA from 1 species